GAGGAAAAGGGUGUAGAAAAAGUUGAGGGUUCUAGUAUUGAUGAUGUUUGGAAAAGGCUGGAUGAGCUGCAAUUCGGUGCUGAGGAGCCAGAAUUAUCGACUGAGCAGCUUAGAAUCAAUGAUCAAGCACAAGAGGAUGAGUUACUAGCACUGGAAUCAAUUUUUGGUGACAGUGUCUUCGUUCUUGAUAGACGAAAUGGUCUACGAUCUUUUCAGAUUCAUGUACAUAUUGAAGUUCCUG
rnacentral:misc_RNA from 1 species